rnacentral:rRNA from 1 species
UACGAAGGGAGCUAGCGUUGUUCGGAAUUACUGGGCGUAAAGCGCACGUAGGCGGAUUGCUAAGUCAGGGGUGAAAUCCCGGGGCUCAACCUCGGAACUGCCUUUGAUACUGACAAUCUCGAGUCCGAUAGAGGUGGGUGGAAUUCCUAGUGUAGAGGUGAAAUUCGUAGAUAUUAGGAAGAGCACCGGUGGCGAAGGCGGCCCACUGGAUCGGUACUGACGCUGAGGUGCGAAAGCGUGGGGAGCAAACAGG